UACGUAGGGGGCAAGCGUUGUCCGGAUUUACUGGGCGUAAAGCGCCUGUAGGCGGAAGCUUAAGCGGUACCUGAAAGCCCCCGCUCAACCGGGGAAGGUGGCGCCGAACUGGGCUUCUUGAGGGCGAUAGAGGAAGGUGGAAUUCCGGGUGUAGCGGUGGAAAUGCGUAGAUAUCGGAGAACACCGGUGGCGAAGGCGGUCGAUCGGUGAGC
rnacentral:rRNA from 1 species